rnacentral:lncRNA from 1 species
AAGAUUUGGGAAGUCAGACCUCACAUCACUGGGAUACUGGUCAGAGGACAGCCCUUGGAUGUCUUCUAGAGUCUCCAUUCCCUCCUUCGCAUGAGUCCUUUCUGUGAUUAGGGUAUGGCAGCAACAACCAAGAUGGGGGCUCUGAAAGGAGGGCAAGGGUUCAGGGGAGGAGAGCAUGGCCCCACAUGGAAUGCUGCCCUUGGUCACCCCAGCCCUCUCUCAAUUUCCCUCACAACCCACCAUCAGGAGCCUCAGAGUAGGCCAGCGUUUGAAACAAGUUUUCAGUGCCGCAAAAGAAACAGCACUCAAACAGAAAUUUUUUUCUCAGCAAGGCAAAUUUACUUCUGCAGAAGGGUGCAGCUGGCGCCAGACAUGAUCACAAGAGCACACUGAGUAGGGUGGGGCAGGAGUUUUUAUCCCUAAUGCAGCAGCUUCUGUAGCUGUGUCCUUUCCCCAUUGGCUGGAGUUGGACUGCACAAUCUAAGCUGAGACCUGACUGGCUACUGUUUAAAAUUGAACAGGGCUAACUAGGCAGGAAGGGAGAGGCUGUCCCUUACAAUUUUAGGGUGCAGUAAAGGCAGAAAGGAUAGUUGCAGAGUAGGGAAUAGAUGUGAGUUAUAGAUUAGGACUGAUGGGAAGAUUGUUUACCAUAAUUAGAGGCAAGGGGGCAUAAAGAACGAGGAAGUUACUCUUUGAAAAUAGAGAACAAAGAACAAGGAAGCUGAACAAGCUGACUCUUCUUUGAAGAGGAACCCACCGUACCCAACACCAGAAAGACUAUAACCUUGCUUUGAAGGCUGGGAGUCCAAGAUCCAGGUGUCAGCAGUGUUGGUAUCUCCUGUGGCCACUCUCCUGGGCUUGCAGACGGCGUCUUCUCCCUGUGUCCCCACAUGACCACCCUUCUCCACCUUAGCAUCCCCGGUGUCUCUGUGUGUCCGGAUGUCCUUUUCUCAUGAGGGAAGUGAACUUGACAUGGUUUAGCAACCAAAUAAAGCCAUACGUCACUGCUGCUCUUUGAAGAUAAUGAAAUCUGGCAUCGAGAUCUUUAUCUUUGCAGGAACCAAAGGCCAGAGACUUCUCAGCAAACACAAGACCAGAGAGAGAAGCAUCCCUGCUGAUGAGAAAGAACAGACACUCCCAGAGGACAAGGUCCACCUGUCAGGCAGCCACAGCCCAGCAUACUCUGGAGUCUGAGGUGGGGGUCAGUUGUGAAGAAAGGGAAGAAGGAAGAAAAAGGAUACGUUGUGCUCCGACCACAGGCCAAGGUCAGAAGACGGUAUUUACCAAGUCUCUUCCCAAAAUACUUGCAAAUGCACAUAAUCUCAAAGUGUUUUUGAGGGCUCUUCCGAUCUAAAAUUGGUCCUAGUGACAAGGGGUGUUUGGGGAAAUCAAAGGGCUGGCUUAACUAUGUAGACCUAGGUCUGGUCUUAUUUCUGGCCCAUACGAUCAUCAUGACCUUGGACAAAUGAAACUUCCUGGGCCUCAAGUUCCUUGUAUCAGAAAGGAUGGCAUUCAGCUGCGUACAACAGAAAACCAAAUCACAGUGGCUUAUCCAAGAAAAGUUCAAUUUUUCUCAAAACUACAGCGUCCUGGGCUGAUGCGGCAGCCCCAGGACGACCUCAGCAUCUCACUCCUCCUUUCUUUACUCGGCCCCAUCCUCAGGCUGUGACUUUCAUCCUCAGGUUUGUCAUCUUUUGGUGGUAAGAUGGUUGCUCUACCUCAAGCUCACAAAAAGAAAUGGGGGAAAGCAGGAAAGAAGAAAAUCUGCUUCCCCAGAGACUCUGAGGCUGCACUUGCACAUCUUAUGGAUCCAAACUGUGUCCCAUGGCUGCCCCUAGAUGCAAGGGGCCUGGGGAAAUGAGCGGAUUCAUCAGGUACACUGCAACCGUACAUGAAAGGAAAGUUCUGUCAAUAAAGAAGAGCGAAAUCUACAUUUGGUCAGGAAACAGCAUUGCCUGCAAUAUGCCUCAUAUGAAAUAAAGCCUUUCUUGCCCCCAUUCUGCUACUCGGUCAUUCUUGCACUCAACAAAUAGAUGUUGAGUGCCCACUCUCUCCAGGCCAUGUUCUAGGUGCUGCGGAUGCAAUCCUGAAUCUAUGAACACGAUUGGCAGAACAAUAAAUAUUGAUUGUCUUGGCCACUCACCAAAUAAAGUGCUCCUGGGAAGGCUGAGAUCUAAUGCAAAGCAGCAGCUUGACUUUCUCACUCCCUGGCAACAAUGCCAAGCAAGAGAAAGCGAUGGGUAAGGCCUGGCUCAAGAGUCUCACUGCAACCUGCACUGUAGAUUCUACCUGCUAAUUUCCUCAGCCUUCUCUGGUUUUGGGCUUCAGAAUGCCCUAACUCUGGGCCCGGCGCGGUGGCUCACGCCUGUAAACCCAUCACUUUGGGAGGCCAAGGCGGGUGGAUCACAAGAUCAAGACCAUCCUGGCCAACAUGGUGAAACCCUGUCUCUACUGAAAAUACAAAAAUUAGCUGGGCAUGGUGGCUUGUGCUUGUAAUCCAGCUACUUGGAAGGCUGAGGCUGGAGGAUCGCUUGAACCCAGAAGGCAGAGGUUGCAGUGAGCUGAGAUCACACCACUGCACUCCAGCCUGGCAACAGAGUGAGACUCUGUCUCAAAAAAAAAAAAAAAAAAAAAAAGAAUGCCCUAAGUCUACUCUGGACCAUGAGCAAGGAUAAUCUGUCUUAGAGGAGAGAAGGUGAGGUUAUGAUUCCAGAGCAUUUGGUGACCCAGGAAGUAGACCUGCCUCCUCCUAUCUGUCCACAGAGCAGUCCUAGGGGCAAUAGGCCAUGAGAAGAUCAUGCCAGGCAGUCCAUUUCUAUAUUACCAUGUAAACAAAAACUCAGCUGUGAACCCUGGAACGUUCGUAUUCUGCAGCUGCCAGUGUAAACUGGUACAGGCCUCUUGAAGAACAGUGGGGAAAGGCACUCUGAAAGCAUCCACGCCUCCAUACCUGCUGAUCCAGGGCUCUGAUUUUCCUUCUGGGAACCAAGCCUAGGAGAAUGAUUCAAGCUGCAGAAAACCUUUCUCCACUAAGAUGUUUGCUGUGGCAUUCAGUAUAAUAGCACACCAGAGAAACAAUCUAAAGAUUCAUCAGUAGGAGAAUAUCUAAGUAAAUUAUGGUACAUACACUCAAUAAAAUGUUAUAUGACUACUAAUUAUGGUGGUUACAAAGACUAUCUCUUUAAGAAAAAUGCUUCUGUGAAUGGUUAAGUGAAAAUUGCAAGAUACGGGCUGGGUGCAGUGGCUCACACCGGGUGCAGAGUCUCACUCUGUUG